rnacentral:rRNA from 1 species
UUGAACGCUGGCGGCAUGCUUUACACAUGCAAGUCGAGCGGCAGCGCGGGGCAACCUGGCGGCGAGCGGCGAACGGGUGAGUAAUAUAUCGGAACGUACCCUGUCGUGGGGGAUAAAACAUCGAAAGAUGUGCUCAUACCGCAUACGACCUGAGGGUGAAAGCGGGGGAUCGCACGACCUCGCGCGAUAGGAGCGGCCGAUAUCGGAGUAGCUAGAUGGUGAGGUAAAGGCUCACCAAGGCGACGAUCCGUAGCUGGUCUGAGAGGACGACCAGCCACACGGGAACUGAGACACGGUCCAGACUCCUACGGGAGGCAGCAGUGGGGAAUUUUGGACAAUGGGCGCAAGCCUGAUCCAGCCAUUCCGCGUGAGUGAAGAAGGCCUUCGGGUUGUAAAGCUCUUUCGGCAGGAACGAAACGGUGGGAUCUAAUACAUACCACUAUUGACGGUACCUGAAGAAGAAGCACCGGCUAACUACGU